rnacentral:rRNA from 1 species
UGGGGAAUUUUGGACAAUGGGGGAAACCCUGAUCCAGCCAUCCCGCGUGUGCGAUGAAGGCCUUCGGGUUGUAAAGCACUUUUGGCAGGAAAGAAACGUCGCGGGUUAAUACCCCGCGAAACUGACGGUACCUGCAGAAUAAGCACCGGCUAACUACGUGCCAGCAGCCGCGGUAAUACGUAGGGUGCAAGCGUUAAUCGGAAUUACUGGGCGUAAAGCGUGCGCAGGCGGUUCGGAAAGAAAGAUGUGAAACUCCCAGAGCUUAACUUUGGAACUGCAUUUUUAACUACCGGGCUAGAGUGUGUCAGAGGGAGGUGGAAUUCCGCGUGUAGCAGUGAAAUGCGUAGAUAUGCGGAGGAACACCGAUGGCGAAGGCAGCCUCCUGGGAUAACACUGACGCUCAUGCACGAAAGCGUGGGGAGCAAACAGGAUUAGAUACCCUGGUAGUCCACGCCCUAAACGAUGUCAACUAGCUGUUGGGGCCUUCGGGCCUUGGUAGCGCAGCUAACGCGUGAAGUUGACCGCCUGGGGAGUACGGUCGCAAGAUUAAAACUCAAAGGAAUUGG